UUUUCUACCCCAAUACUAGAUAAUAAUGGCUACUAUUUAUAGUGCUCUUUGAGUUUUCUGAAGUGUCUUCUGUAUGGUAUCUUGUUAACAUAAUAGAGAGGGAGCUGGUCUCAAAGACUUGCUGCCCUGGGUUCAAGCCCCACGUCCCUUCCUCUGACACACGUUGACUGAGUGAUCCUGUUUGGUUCUGUAAUCACCCAGUAUUCUCUAAGCCCAGCUGCACUGAAGGAGAAAGUUUCCUCUUCUCCAAGUUCUUCAUAUCAGUGAGAUCAUGUGCCCAAUUCCAGUAUCAAUCCUAUCUCAGGGGUUAAGAAGGGGCCUGAUACAUGCUGGAAGUCAAUAAAAAAAGCUCAUUAUGUUCAAUUGAAUUGGAUCAAAAUGAAUCCUAAAUGUCGGAAUGGAAAGGUAGGGAGUGGAACAGAGUCAGUGUGGGAGUCGGAGGGCAUAUAAGAGGAGCAAUGCAGAACAUUAGGAAAACAGAUCCUGUGCGUUAAUGAGAAGAGCUCACCUGUCCAUGUGCAAUUUAAUUCAGCAAUUAGGCAUAAACUGCCCACUAUGGGUGAGGUGCUGGCUAGACAAAGACCCAUGUAAGCCAGAUCUGCUACCAAUGAGCAUUAACAGAGGAAACAAAGACAAUCCAGGGAAGAGUGGGCUGAGUGCAGAGAAAUGGUCCAGGCACAGUGUUCGGUGGGUGACUCGAGAAGGAAGGGGCCACUUUCAGUCAGCAUCUGAUCAAGGGAGGCUCUGUGCCCGAGGAGACAGCUAAGCUAUGGCACAGACAGAGAUGGAGAGUCAAUCUCAGGCAUGAAGGGUGCUACGCACAAGUGUCCAGAGAUGGGAACUGUCAGGACAAAACGAAGACUGAAGAAGGGCCCAGUGUGGCCAGGACACAGAGCUCCUGAAAGAGAGGGAUCCGACCUGAGGCCGGAAAGCAGAGGCCCCAUCACAGAAGGCCCUGAAUUCCAAGCUUAUCUGCUCAGCAACAGAGAGCUGGAAGAUUGCGGGCAGAUACUGACCCAGCAGAGCAGGGUUGGCCAGAUGUCUCGGGCAUCAGUUUGAAAGGGGGAUUGUGAAUGGGAUGGUGGUUCAGCGCUCAGCUGUGACUUGGACUUCUAUCUCCCAGGAGCAAAACCACUUGCAGGAUGUAGCAGUAGAGAAGGCAUUGAUGUGUUCACUAACAUUCUGCCUUAUGAUCUUCCAUUGCUACAUGGUGUCACAUAUCCCUGAGACCCUACGAGAGAAGCACAGAGGCAGCAAGAUGGAGAGAGUGGCAACCUGGGGGCAAGUCUAUUUUAUAGUAACAUAGACAGGUGGAUGACCAUCAGGUGAAGACCAGGGGAGACAGUCCCUACUGGAAGAAGCACAUGGCAUCCCUCAUGCCAGCACCCUGGGGCAAAGUCCCACUCAUCCCAUAUCUGAACUAGAGGAAGAAGACCAAUUUGGAGCCUCUUGCAAUUAGGUACACCCUGGUCUGCGGCGCUUGCCAGGGGAUGAAAAUAUAGGGGAGAGACGUGGGACAUGUUACAGAAAUAGAAUCGAGAAGAACGGGCAUCUGACUGAGCAUGGGACUGAUCGAGAGGGAGGAGGCAAAGAGGAACCCAGGUCUUGUCUGGGGGCUUGUUGAAUCGGUUGAUUGAUGGUGGGGCCAUCAACAAGAAGUGAUGAAUAGAGGAAGAUGGACAUUUGAUGCUGGGGAAGGAUAGAGUUUGAACAGUUGAAUUUGAGGUGUUCCAGGAGCAUCGAUAUGGAGACAUCCAGCUGAUCCUUGGAUAUAGGAAGUGUAGCUCUGGAGAGAGUUUCUGGGUGGAGGGGAGUAGCUCAUGUGCCUGAGAUGCCCUGAUUCACUUCUUUAUUGGUACCUCCAUGCCUGGCACAUAGUAGGCAUUUAAUACAAACUCAGCUGAUUGAAAAUCGUGAUUUGGAAGCCAACUGCAUAGAGGCAAUAAGUGAAACAUACAUUUGGCUCAGCUCAUCCAAGGAUUGGUGUACAAGGAAGGAAGAAGAAAGCCCAUGACAGAGCCAUGGAAAAGGAGUCGAUUAAGGAGGCAGAGAAGCCACACCAGAGAGGUACUAUGUCAUAGGACUUUCCUAAUUGGGGACACAUACAGGAAAGGGAAUCAUCUGGCCCAUUUAAAGCAGACGAUAAAAGAUGCAAGAGCAUGGCAGAAAUCCACCAUUUUAGCAUUGGAGAGGACUAUCUGGUCGAACAAUCUGGUCGAACUCAUAUGUGAGUAAUCCUCCAUUCUGCACCAUCCUUGAUAAGUUUGUUAUCUGAUAUUCUCUGGAAGACCCUAAGCAAGCGAGAACCUGCUUCCCUCUGCCAUUUUGGGGCAACUUUAAAGGCUAUGGAAUUUUCCUAACCUCAAACCUAAAUUACCCUUUUUCUAACUUCCAUUGCCCCAAGGUCUACCUUAUGGAGUCAACUACAAUAAACAUAAUCCAUUUUCCACACUGCAAUCCUUGAACUAUUUGAAGCCAACUCGGCUAGCUCCUCGAGUAUUUUAUGCUUCAGGCUAAAUACUCACCAGAAAUAUCAGGUACUGUUGGGUAUCGCUGGUAGAAUUGGGUUCCAGAGCCAGAACUAGGCUGGGGUUAGCAGGGGGUCAACAUUAGAAAGAAUUUACAAUAGUUUCACUCCUAUAGAAUAGAAAUAACACACCUUAUCCCAUAGUUAGUAAAAACAAUCAAGUGAACUCUUCUUGCUCAUUAGGCUGCCCCAUAAAUGACAUGAGCUCAUCAGUGAACAAGUAAGCCAACAAGUAUUCAUUUUAGUAAGUACUGAGGACACAAAGAAAAAACAAAAGUGCUGACAUUGUAAUGGGGGGACAGCAUGCAAAGAACUGACUAAGUUCACUCUCCAUACAUACUGACAGUAUACUCCGGAGGUAAUCGCAGAGAAAAAGGCACUGGCAGAAGAGGGAGGGUGGGAAGCUUGGGAGAGGCUUCCUGUAAAAGGUGGGAAUUGAGCUAAAUCCUGCCGGAAGCACAAAGGAGGAUAAAGACAGAGAGGACAAUCAGUGAAAAGGCCAAGAACUGAUAGAUGAAGUGUCCUGCACAGAGAGAAACAAGGAGGCCAGUGCAGCUUUAUCAGAGAGUGCAUGAAAUGGAGUAGAGGGUGAAGGAAAGAGAGACGUAGAAAGGGGACAGCUGGAAAGAGACUAAAUGCCAGAGAACUUUCUAUUUGAUCCUGGAAGUAAUAGGGAGCCAAUGGAGUUUAUUGAGUAGGAGUGGAAUGUGGAUAGACAUGGACUUCAGGGGAAUUCCUUUGGCAGUUAGAUGGAGGAUGGAUUUGAGUGAGGAAAGAUUUGACACAGGAAGGGUAAUCAGUUUGCUAUGGUACCAGUGCAGGCAUUAGAUGCUGAGGUCCUUUCCCAGAGAUGGGGCUAGAUAAGUGAAGAGAAGGGGAUGUAUAUGAAAGAUAUUGUGAAGGUAGAAAUGAUUGGGGUCCCAGCAAGUGAGGAGCAGACAGUGUGGUAGAGACUUGAAGAGAGAGAGGUUUUGCAGAUCAGGUCCCCAGCUUGUUUCUUGCAUCUUGGCUUGUCCUGCAAAAUCCCUCUCUCUUCAAGUCUCUACCACAACAGUGACCCUGAGGUUGUGAGUCUGGGGGAUGCUACCCUCAAUAGGGAAGUUGGGAAGAGGGGAAUGAUUGAAAGCAAAAAAGUGAGUACAGUUUUGGACAUGUUGAGUUUAAGAUAUCUACAGGACGUCCAUCUCAAAAUGUCCUCUAGGCAGUUGGUGUGAGAGUUGAGGCCAGGAAAUGGAUUAGGACUAAAUCAAAGAUUGGAAUAAGCUUCAGAGACAUGAUGAUUGAAUUUUUGGGAGUUGAUGAGAUUAUCAAGUGAGAUGCUAUAGGGAGAAAUAAGAAGAAGGCCCAGGGAAGGGCCUUGGAGGACACUUAAGGACUUUUAGCAUCCUGGUAACCCUUCCUGGCCACUCUAGCUUAUCAAUGGCCUUGCUAAUAUGAGUUGUCCAGAGCUGAUCACAGUAUUCCAGAUAAGGUCCAACAAGAAGAGAAGAGAGCAGCUCUCCAUAGGCGUAAACAUUCUUUCUUAAAUCCGUUCUUUGUCCAUCUUUUAGGCUACUCAUUGGCUGCUUCAGUGUCCCUUGUCUACUUUGUCUCAGAUAAGGGAUAACCUCUUGGUUAGGCCAUCCUAACCAUGAGCUUCUAGUUAUCUCGUGACCAGGCUCUAGGCCAGUGAUGGGCACCUUUUGAUCUUGCUGUGUCAAAAUUUGCCAAAAGACUGAGCAUAACUCGGGUGGUGUGUCACCUCGAGAAAAAAAGUCCUCAGCAUGCAGCCCCAUACUUCUCUGUAUGCGGUCUCAUGCGACCAUGUGUCAUCGAAAGUGGCUACGUGUGUCAUAGGUUCGCCAUCAUGGCUCUAAGCCCUUCCAUAUGAUCACAUUAUACAGAACAAGGACCUUUGAGAAAUAUGGUGAUUUUUUGAGUGUAGGACACCGACCUCUGGAGUCAGGGCAGGAAGGGUCUUUAUUGCAAAGUAGAUUGAUAAAAAUGAGUCAUAAACAAGCUGACUAACUGCCUAGAAGCUUAGGUGUAAGGCUCACACCCUUAGGGAAAAUACCUUAAUUGACUAAAAAUUAAAACAGACUUUUACUUGAGACAUCAAGACAUUAGUUUUGCACAUUAAGGCAUUAAGCUAGCACUAUAGGGAGAGGGGUAUUGGUUCUGACCCAAACAGGGAAAAGGGGAUGGGCUAGAGAAGAGUGUGUAUGAAUUGUGAUGUGGAAGAUGAUUUGGGACACCUUGCCCUAGUAAUUUCCCUAAAUAAUGAUCAUACAAAAGAGAAAAUACACACACACACACACACACACACACAUGUGCACUCUUUGAUGCUGGAGUAACACUACUAGGUCUGUAACCCAAUGAAAAAGGACCUAUAUUUAAUAUAAACAUACACACAUAUAUAUAUACAUGUACACAUAUGUGUAUGUAUCUUGAUCUAUCUUCUAUAUGUAUAUGUAUACAUAUAUACACAGAGAGAGAUGGAGAGAAAGAGAGAGAGAGAGAGAGAGAGAGAGAGAGAGAGGUAGGAAGAGAACAACUUUUUUUGUUGUUGUUGACAGAGAAUCCAAAGUUGAGGGACUAUCCAUCAAGAGGAGAAUGGACAAACAAUUUGUGCUGUAUGAUUGUGAUGGAAUACUAUUUUGCUAUAGCAUGAUCUAUAGGAUGGUUUCAGAAAAACUGGGAAAGACUUAUAUGAACUGAUGCAAAGUGAAGGGAGCAGAGUCAGGAAGAACAUUGAAUACAAUAAUGCAAAAUUGUACAAUGAUCAGCUGCGAAAGACUUAGCUACCCUGAUCAAGACAAUGAUACAAGACAAUUCCAAGAGACUCAUGAUGAAAAAUGCUCUCCAUCCCCAGAGAGAAAACUAAUAGGCUCUGAGUACAAAUGGAAGCCAACUUUCUUUCACUUUAUUCUCCCCUCCCUUGCAACAUGACUUAUAGGGAAAUAUGUUUUGCAUGAUUUCACAUGAAUAAUGAAUAUCAUAUUGCUUGCCUUCUCAAUGGGUGUCAAAGGGGCUGUAAUGAGGGAGAGAAUUUGGAACUCAAAAUAAAAAAUAAAA